rnacentral:rRNA from 1 species
UACAUGUGGGGCAAGCGUUGUUCGGAAUUACUGGGCAUAAAGGGUGCGUAGGCGGUUUGUUAAGUCACUGGUGAAAGUUUUCGGCCCAACCGGAAAAUUGCCUGUGAUACUGGCGAACUUGAGUGCGUGAGGGGUGGGGGGAACGAGCAGUGUGGCGGUGAAAUGCGUAGAUAUUGCUCGGAAGGCCGGAGCCGAAGGGGCCCCACUGGUACGUAACUGACGCUGAGGCACGAAAGCGUGGGGAGCAAACAGG